GUACAAGACCUCACCCCUUCACUUCACUCUACUGCAGGGUGGGAGAUGCAACAAUGGCCUUGAGAACAGCAGGAAGUGUGUUGGUGGUCUUUCUCUGGUCUGUAGCAGUGGUACUGGGUCAGGAUGGCUGGAGAGUAACUUAUACCACUC